rnacentral:rRNA from 1 species
UACGAAGGGGGCUAGCGUUGCUCGGAAUCACUGGGCGUAAAGCGCACGUAGGCGGAUCUUUAAGUCAGGGGUGAAAUCCUGGAGCUCAACUCCAGAACUGCCUUUGAUACUGAGGAUCUUGAGUCCGGGAGAGGUGAGUGGAACUCCGAGUGUAGAGGUGAAAUUCGUAGAUAUUCGGAAGAACACCAGUGGCGAAGGCGGCUCACUGGCCCGGUACUGGCGCUGAGGUGCGAAAGCGUGGGGAGCAAACAGG